rnacentral:lncRNA from 1 species
AUUGGUUUAGAAGGACCAAAUUUCCAAUUGAGCUUAAUCAAUAACGGAAUGUUGCAUUGAACCGAGUCAUAUUCGAAGUGGUGGGAGGUUAGUUUGACCUAAUCACAAUUAACGAAAAAUCUAUGUGGAGUAUCUAAAGUUUUAUAUAUAUAUAUAUAUAUAUAUAUAUAUAAUUUAACGAAAUAUUAACGAAAAAGUUGACGAAAAAAAUAAAAAUAAAAUCAUAGAACACUAACUUCAUACACUUCAAACAACAAGGCACUAAAAUGAGAAAGUGCGAAACUACGGGGGUGUGUUUGAAGUUUA